GACUCGGUUGGGCGGUCCGCUUAACGGCGUGUACUGUCUGACUGGGCCUUACCUCUUGGUGAGCCAGUGUGCCCUUUAUUGGUGUGCAUUGGGGAACCAGGACUUUUACCUUGAGAAAAUUAGAGUGUUCAAAGCAGGCAAUCGAGCCUUGAAUACUUCAGCAUGGGAUAAUGGAACAGG
rnacentral:rRNA from 1 species